rnacentral:rRNA from 1 species
UACAGAGGUCUCAAGCGUUGUUCGGAUUCAUUGGGCGUAAAGAGCGCGCAGGCGGUCGUUCAAGUCGCGUGUGAAAGCCCCCGGCUCAACUGGGGAGGGUCACGCGAUACUGAUCGACUCGAAGGCAGGAGAGGGAAGUGGAAUUCCCGGUGUAGUGGUGAAAUGCGUAGAUAUCGGGAGGAACACCAGUGGCGAAGGCGACUUCCUGGCCUGUUCUUGACGCUGAGGCGCGAAAGCCAGGGGAGCAAACGGG